UACGUAGGGUGCAAGCGUUGUCCGGAAUUAUUGGGCGUAAAGAGCUCGUAGGCGGUUUGUCGCGUCGAAUGUGAAAACCCGGGGCUCAACCCCGGGCCUGCAUUCGAUACGGGCAGACUAGAGUUCGGUAGGGGCGUCUGGAAUUCCUGGUGUAGCGGUGAAAUGCGCAGAUAUCAGGAGGAACACCGGUGGCGAAGGCGGGACUCUGGGCCGAUACUGACGCUGAGGAGCGAAAGCGUGGGGAGCAAACAGG
rnacentral:rRNA from 1 species